AGAGUUUGAUCCUGGCUCAGGACGAACGCUGGCGGCGUGCUUAACACAUGCAAGUCGAACGGAAAGGCCUAAGCUUGCUUGGGUACUCGAGUGGCGAACGGGUGAGUAACACGUGAGUGAUCUGCCCUCAACUUCGGGAUAAGCCUGGGAAACUGGGUCUAAUACUGGAUAGGACCAUCCUUUAGUGUGUGAUGGUGGAAAGUUUUUUCGGUUGGGGAUGAGCUCGCGGCCUAUCAGCUUGUUGGUGGGGUAAUGGCCUACCAAGGCGUCGACGGGUAGCCGGCCUGAGAGGGUGUACGGCCACAUUGGGACUGAGACACGGCCCAGACUCCUACGGGAGGCAGCAGUGGGGAAUAUUGCACAAUGGGCGGAAGCCUGAUGCAGCGACGCCGCGUGAGGGAUGACGGCCUUCGGGUUGUAAACCUCUUUCGACAGGGACGAAGCUUUUGUGACGGUACCUGUAUAAGAAGCACCGGCUAACUACGUGCCAGCAGCCGCGGUAAUACGUAGGGUGCGAGCGUUGUCCGGAAUUACUGGGCGUAAAGAGCUCGUAGGUGGUUUGUCGCGUCGUCUGUGAAAUUCCGGGGCUUAACUCCGGGCGUGCAGGCGAUACGGGCAUAACUUGAGUGCUGUAGGGGAGACUGGAAUUCCUGGUGUAGCGGUGAAAUGCGCAGAUAUCAGGAGGAACACCGAUGGCGAAGGCAGGUCUCUGGGCAGUAACUGACGCUGAGGAGCGAAAGCAUGGGGAGCGAACAGGAUUAGAUACCCUGGUAGUCCAUGCCGUAAACGUUGGGCACUAGGUGUGGGGGACAUUCCACGUUUUCCGCGCCGUAGCUAACGCAUUAAGUGCCCCGCCUGGGGAGUACGGCCGCA
rnacentral:rRNA from 1 species